rnacentral:rRNA from 1 species
ACGGGUGAGUAACACGUGGGCAAUCUGCCCUUCACUCUGGGACAAGCCCUGGAAACGGGGUCUAAUACCGGAUAUGAGCCUGGGAGGCAUCUCCCGGGUUGUAAAGCUCCGGCGGUGAAGGAUGAGCCCGCGGCCUAUCAGCUUGUUGGUGAGGUAACGGCUCACCAAGGCGACGACGGGUAGUCGGCCUGAGAGGGCGACCGGCCACACUGGGACUGAGACACGGCCCAGACUCCUACGGGAGGCAGCAGUGGGGAAUAUUGCACAAUGGGCGCAAGCCUGAUGCAGCGACGCCGCGUGAGGGAUGACGGCCUUCGGGUUGUAAACCUCUUUCAGCAGGGAAGAAGCGCAAGUGACGGUACCUGCAGAAGAAGCGCCGGCUAACUACGUGCCAGCAGCCGCGGUAAUACGUAGGGCGCAAGCGUUGUCCGGAAUUAUUGGGCGUAAAGAGCUCGUAGGCGGCUUGUCACGUCGGGUGUGAAAGCCCGGGGCUUAACCCCGGGUCUGCAUUCGAUACGGGCUGGCUAGAGUGUGGUAGGGGAGAUCGGAAUUCCUGGUGUAGCGGUGAAAUGCGCAGA